rnacentral:rRNA from 1 species
GACGAACGCUGGCGGCGUGCUUAACACAUGCAAGUCGAACGGAAAGGCCCUGCUUGCAGGGUGCUCGAGUGGCGAACGGGCGAGUAACACGUGGGUGAUCUGCCCCUUACUUUGGGAUAAGCCUGGGAAACUGGGUCUAAUACUGGAUAGGACCAUGCUGUAGGUGGUGUGGUGGAAAGAUUAGUUUCGGUAAGGGAUGAGCUCGCGGCCUAUCAGCUUGUUGGUGGGGUAAUGGCCUACCAAGGCGUCGACGGGUAGCCGGCCUGAGAGGGUGGACGGCCACAUUGGGACUGAGAUACGGCCCAGACUCCUACGGGAGGCAGCAGUGGGGAAUAUUGCACAAUGGGCGCAAGCCUGAUGCAGCGACGCCGCGUGGGGGAUGACGGCCUUCGGGUUGUAAACUCCUUUCAGCCAUGACGAAGCCCUUGUGGUGACGGUAGUGGUAGAAGAAGCACCGGCUAACUACGUG